rnacentral:rRNA from 1 species
UUCGAGCGAACGGACGAGAAGCUUGCUUUCUCUGAUGUUAGCGGCGGACGGGUGAGUAACACGUGGAUAACCUACCUAUAAGACUGGGAUAACUUCGGGAAACCGGAGCUAAUACCGGAUAAUAUUUUGAACCGCAUGGUUCAAAAGUGAAAGACGGUCUUGCUGUCACUUAUAGAUGGAUCCGCGCUGCAUUAGCUAGUUGGUAAGGUAACGGCUUACCAAGGCAACGAUGCAUAGCCGACCUGAGAGGGUGAUCGGCCACACUGGAACUGAGACACGGUCCAGACUCCUACGGGAGGCAGCAGUAGGGAAUCUUCCGCAAUGGGCGAAAGCCUGACGGAGCAACGCCGCGUGAGUGAUGAAGGUCUUCGGAUCGUAAAACUCUGUUAUUAGGGAAGAACAUAUGUGUAAGUAACUGUGCACAUCUUGACGGUACCUAAUCAGAAAGCCACGGCUAACUACGUGCCAGCAGCCGCGGUAAUACGUAGGUGGCAAGCGUUAUCCGGAAUUAUUGGGCGUAAAGCGCGCGUAGGCGGUUUUUUAAGUCUGAUGUGAAAGCCCACGGCUCAACCGUGGAGGGUCAUUGGAAACUGGAAAACUUGAGUGCAGAAGAGGAAAGUGGAAUUCCAUGUGUAGCGGUGAAAUGCGCAGAGAUAUGGAGGAACACCAGUGGCGAAGGCGACUUUCUGGUCUGUAACUGACGCUGAUGUGCGAAAGCGUGGGGAUCAAACAGGAUUAGAUACCCUGGUAGUCCACGCCGUAAACGAUGAGUGCUAGUGUUA